GUGUCAGCAGCCGCGGUAAUACCAGCUCUCCGAGUGGUAGGGACGAUUAUUGGGCUUAAAGCGUCCGUAGCCGGCUUAGCAAGUCUCCUGUUAAAUUCAGCGACCUAAUCGUUGAGCCGCGGGAGAUACUACUAGGCUAGGAGGCGGGAGAGGUCGACGGUACUUCCGGGGUAGGGGUGAAAUCCUAUAAUCCCGGGAGGACCACCAGUGGCGAAGGCUGUCGACUAGAACGCGCUCGACGGUGAGGGACGAAAGCUGGGGGAGCGAACCGGAUUAGAUACCCGGGUAGUCCCAGCCGUAAACGAUGCGGGCUAGGUGUUGGAGUGGCUACGUGCCACUUCAGUGCCGCAGGGAAGCCGUUAAGCAUGCCGCCUGGGGAGUACGGUCGCAAGACUGAAACUUAAAUGAAUUGACGGGG
rnacentral:rRNA from 1 species